rnacentral:lncRNA from 1 species
GUGUAAGUCACAGAGCAGUAAAAGAAGUUGGAAUAUUUUACCACAGUUGCAAAAAGGAGAGGGUUUGUGAGGCCCGGGCUUCUUUAUAUACAAGAAAAGGCAACACUGCCAAAUCCGAGUCUAGGCGCCCAGAAAGCUAAUGCAAAACCAGUGCCUAAAGGAGGAAAGUAUCAAUGUCACCUUGAAAGUGAACAGAGACACUACUGUUAUUAAAAAGAAAAACAAGUCAUGAGGAAGAAGAAUGUAUUGAGUCGUUAGCAUGCUCAAGGAGGUUUCCACAGCUGCAAUGUGGAGAUUGGUGUGUUCCAUUACAUCUCAUUGCCCCUUUAGAAGCAGGCUGUGCUGGGGACCAGGAGGAGGCCAUUGGAUGGGUGCCAGGAAGCUCAGGGCUUCAGGCAUGGCUGACCCUGUUUCCACUGGGCCCCAGGGAAAUUGAAGCCAAAUGUAUGAGGAUGGAACAGUUCUGAGGCUUUCAUAAGUUAUUUUCUGUAAUCCAUUGACCAUUUUGAUGAUCAUUUUUCCUCCCAGAAAAAUUCACUUACCCCUUUUCUCUUCUGUGGACUGCAUUGCCACAUUUUCCUCUCUCAUUUGAUUUCACAAGUGUCCAUAAUCUUACUUGCUCCUUUCCUUUGGCAUUUUCUCUUGGAAUCUAAGUAUCUCUGUUUUUUAUAUUUUAUAGUCACUUGCUUCAUGUUUAUCCUCUUUUUGUUUUCUAUCUCUUUCUUUCCCCAAAGAAAUAAGUCUUUGCUGCAAUUCAUAGGGGCUGAUAUUGAACCAUACGUCCAGGGUAUUACUUUACAAUGUCCAUAAGCUCCCAGAAAUGCACCAGAAAUACGCCAACAAUUAAAUGACACUUUAUUUCUGGGCGUAGGUAGGGGU